CUACGUGCCAGCAGCCGCGGUAAUACGGAAGGUCCAGGCGUUAUCCGGAUUUAUUGGGUUUAAAGGGAGCGUAGGCGGAUUGUUAAGUCAGCGGUUAAAGGGUGUGGCUCAACCGUGCAUUGCCGUUGAAACUGGCGAUCUUGAGUGCAGACAGGGAUGCCGGAAUUCGUGGUGUAGCGGUGAAAUGCUUAGAUAUCACGAAGAACUCCGAUCGCGAAGGCAGGUGUCCGGGCUGCAACUGACGCUGAGGCUCGAAAGUGUGGGUAUCAAACAGGAUUAGAUACCCUGGUAGUCCACACAGUAAACGAUGUAUACUCGCGGUUUGCGAUAGAUUGUAAGCCGCCAAGCGAAAGCAUUAAGUAUACCACCUGGGGAGUACGCCGGCAACGGUGAAACUCAAAGGAAUUGACGGGGACCCGCACAAGCGGUGGAGCAUGUGGUUUAAUUCGACGCAACGCGAGGAACCUUACCAGAUCUUGACAUCC
rnacentral:rRNA from 1 species